GGAGUGGACGCAUCACUGGUGUUCGGGUUGUCAUGCCAAUGGCACUGCCCGGUAGCUAAAUGCGGAAGAGAUAAGUGCUGAAAGCAUCUAAGCACGAAACUUGCCCCGAGAUGAGUUCUCCCUGACUCCUUGAGAGUCCUGAAGGAACGUUGAAGACGACGACGUUGAUAGGCCGGGUGUGUAAGCGCAGCGAUGCGUUGAGCUAACCGGUACUAAUGAACCGUGAGGCUUAACCUUACAACGCCGAAGRUGUU
rnacentral:rRNA from 1 species